GAUGAACGCUGGCGGCGUGCCUAAUACAUGCAAGUCGAGCGAACGGACGAGAAGCUUGCUUCUCUGAUGUUAGCGGCGGACGGGUGAGUAACACGUGGAUAACCUACCUAUAAGACUGGGAUAACUUCGGGAAACCGGAGCUAAUACCGGAUAAUAUUUUGAACCGCAUGGUUCAAAAGAGAAAGAGGGUCUUGCUGUCACGUAUAGAUGGAUCGGCGCUGCAUUAGCUAGUUGGUAAGGUAACGGCUUACCAAGGCAACGAUGCAUAGCCGACCUGAGAGGGUGAUCGGCCACUCUGGAACUGAGACACGGUCCAGACUCCUACGGGAGGCAGCAGUAGGGAAUCUUCCGCAAUGGGCGAAAGCCUGACGGAGCAACGCCGCGUGAGUGAUGAAGGUCUUCGGAUCGUAAAACUCUGUUAUUAGGGAAGAACAUAUGUGUAAGUAACUGUGCACAUCUUGACGUUACCUAAUCAGAAAGCCACGGCUAACUACGUG
rnacentral:rRNA from 1 species